GGGGACGCAUUCUGGGUUCGACAGGGUGUUUUAGCAGCCGAGGGUCAUGCCGAGCUCCUGCUUGCUCGUAAAACCGGCAGGAAAAAAGAAACGCAGACACUGAGUACGCUUUAGCUGCCUAAUUGCAGGCGGCAGGUCUUUUACACCCUUUGGCGCUUUGGGGUGUAGAUAGGCCUUUAGAGUUCAAAGCGCUGAAGGCUAUCGUUUGCCUGAAGGCGAUAGCCGAAUUACCUACUUCAGGUGCAAACCACAACGGGUUUGGCUUCCUUUGUCCCAGUGGUUUUGCUUAUAAAAAAGGAAGCUAAGCAUGUAAAAACUCUCGACUGUGACGCACGCCUGGACGCGGGUUCAACUCCCGCCGUCUCCACCA
rnacentral:tmRNA from 1 species